GGAGGGAUCAUUACUGAGUUUACGCUCUAUAACCCUUUGUGAACAUACCUAUAACUGUUGCUUCGGCGGGUAGGGUCUCCGUGACCCUCCCGGCCUCCCGCCCCCGGGCGGGUCGGCGCCCGCCGGAGGAUAACCAAACUCUGAUUUAACGACGUUUCUUCUGAGUGGUACAAGCAAAUAAUCAAAACUUUUAACAACGGAUCUCUUGGUUCUGGCAUCGAUGAAGAACGCAGCGAAAUGCGAUAAGUAAUGUGAAUUGCAGAAUUCAGUGAAUCAUCGAAUCUUUGAACGCACAUUGCGCCCGCCAGCAUUCUGGCGGGCAUGCCUGUUCGAGCGUCAUUUCAACCCUCAAGCUCUGCUUGGUGUUGGGGCCCUACAGCUGAUGUAGGCCCUCAAAGGUAGUGGCGGACCCUCCCGGAGCCUCCUUUGCGUAGUAACUUUACGUCUCGCACUGGGAUCCGGAGGGACUCUUGCCGUAAAACCCCCAAUUUUCCAAAGGUUGACCUCGGAU
rnacentral:rRNA from 1 species